rnacentral:tRNA from 1 species
AAGGAUUUAAGUUAAAAAAAACUGUUAACCUUCAAAGUUAAAAUUAUAAAAUUUAUAAGCCUUA